AUUCGCGGCCUAUCAGCUUGUUGGUGAGGUAAUGGCUCACCAAGGCGUCGACGGGUAGCCGGCCUGAGAGGGUGACCGGCCACACUGGGACUGAGACACGGCCCAGACUCCUACGGGAGGCAGCAGUGGGGAAUAUUGCACAAUGGGCGCAAGCCUGAUGCAGCAACGCCGCGUGAGGGAUGACGGCCUUCGGGUUGUAAACCUCUUUUAGCAGGGAAGAAGCGAAAGUGACGGUACCUGCAGAAAAAGCACCGGCUAACUACGUGCCAGCAGCCGCGGUAAUACGUAGGGUGCAAGCGUUAUCCGGAAUUAUUGGGCGUAAAGAGCUCGUAGGCGGUUUGUCGCGUCUGCUGUGAAAACUGGAGGCUCAACCUCCAGCCUGCAGUGGGUACGGGCAGACUAGAGUGCGGUAGGGGAGAUUGGAAUUCCUGGUGUAGCGGUGGAAUGCGCAGAUAUCAGGAGGAACACCGAUGGCGAAGGCAGAUCUCUGGGCCGUAACUGACGCUGAGGAGCGAAAGGGUGGGGAGCAAACAGGCUUAGAUACCCUGGUAGUCCACCCCGUAAACGUUGGGAACUAGUUGUGGGGUCCAUUCCACGGAUUCCGUGACGCAGCUAACGCAUUAAGUUCCCCGCCUGGGGAGUACGGAAU
rnacentral:rRNA from 1 species